rnacentral:rRNA from 1 species
UACGGGGGGGGCAAGCGUUGUUCGGAAUUACUGGGCGUAAAGGGUGCGUAGGCGGUGUUCUAAGUCGGUUGUGAAAACUCUGGGCUCAACCCAGAGCCUGCAUCCGAAACUGGAGUGCUAGAGUUCUGGAGGGGGUAGCGGAAUUCCUGGUGUAGCGGUGAAAUGCGUAGAUAUCAGGAGGAACACCGGUGGCGAAGGCGGCUACCUGGACAGAAACUGACGCUGAGGCACGAAAGCUAGGGGAGCAAACAGG